AUCAUCUAAUUCUACAACCUAUGAUGUAUACAAAUGUCUGUUUUAUCACUUGUUUUGUCUCUAAAUUGGUUUCUUAAGGGGAAUAAGAACCCUAGAUAGUCUAUUGAAGUAGAGGAAAUUAUUUUUUAAAACCUGUUGUACUGUCUGAGAAUUAAGUAUUUGUCUGCUUUGUUAGACCUAAAUUCUCUAGCUAAAUUAUGUCUUUUUUAUUUCUAAACUGUCAGUAAUAACUGUCACAAUUCCAGAGUUGUUAACAAUUUGGCUGUGCUUUAAGUAAGCCUUUUCAUUUUUUUUUUUAAAGCCUUUUCAUUUUAAGUUUAUUUAUAUCUCUUCCUCUGGGUCUAAUAACGUUUGAGAAAUUAUGUAUACUUUCUUUUAUAAUGUGCUCUAGAAACCAAAACUGAGACUAGGAAAAACUUGUGAAGCAAAUAAUGUUUUUUCUGUGUUUAAACUUUCUGUAGUUAUUACAGAAACUAAUAACUAAUUGUCAUGUUCUCAAUUCACCCCACCACUGAGGUGUAGGUCUCUGCGAUUUUGGCCAGGACCUUCAGGCAUGAGGAACGGUUGCAGCAUCUAUUAAUACAAGGAAGGAAUGGAAAGGAGAGAAGGCAGUGAGGAAAAGCACCUUCAUCACUUGGAGGCUGGAAAGCAUGUUCUGCUUGAUGGACUCUGAAAAGACAAUUAUUGAAAAUAAAAGAAAGGCAUGCUCUCAGCAAUGUGAAGUCCUAUCUCUUCACACAGGAACUAAAAGCAUCAACCUGAGCAACAGGAAACAUAAUGAAAGAACACAAGUUCAAAUUUGAUUCAAGCGUAAUUUGCACUUAUCUAUGAACUCCGGGAGUUGGUGAUGGACAGGGAGGCCUGGCGUGCUGCAAUUCAUGGGGUCGAAAAGAGUCGGACACGAAUGAGCGACUGAACAGAACUGAACUGAACUGAUGUGUCAAUUAUCUAUGUUUACCUGAACACACAUAGAGUGAUCACACUUCUAGAAAUGUUAAUAAAGGUUGUGGGGUGAACA
rnacentral:lncRNA from 1 species